AAAAAAAGGAACGGUGGGUUACAUCUUUGGCCGGGGAUUUAGCUCAGUGGUUUUGCCGCCUGCUGUGCAAGCACAAGGACCUGAGUUCAAUCCCUGGUACCGAACAAAACAAAAUAAAAAAAAAACAAAAAAGGAAGGGUGCCAUAGUUUGAAUCUGGAAUGGUCCUGAAGGUCCAUGUGUUAAGGGUUGGUCCACAGCCCAUGGUGCUAUUGGGAUGUGAAAGAAUCUUCAGGAGGCAGAGCAUGGUGGGAGGAAGUGAGGUCACUGGGGGUGUGGCCUAGACCUCUGCUCUUCCUGUCUCUUGUUUACUGGCCACCAUGAUGUGGCCAGGCCUCCUCUGCCCUGGACUCCUGCCAUGAUGGACUAUGCCAUCACAGGCCCAAGGCAACAAGGCCAAGUGACCAUGCACAAGAACCUCUGAAUCUGGAAGCCAAAAUAAAUCUCUUCCCUUAUGAAGCUGAUUAUCUCAGGUCGGCAGUCAUUUGGACAUUCAGAAGGCAUCACAAAUACCAUCCUGUUGCUGAUGAUGGGCACUUUUCUUCCUCUUAUUAACAAGGAUGGCUCUUGGGGGAGUCUCCGGAAUGGGAAGCAGGCAAGAAAAUGUGGAGCAGCAAGGGACAGAUGGUGCAUCCAUUCAUCUCCUUUCCGUUUUCAGAGAGAAAACUACACUCUGCCUGUGAGACUGUCUUUACGCCAAAGCAGGCAAUGCUGCAAAAUAGAGACCCCAGCAAUUCUAAUUCUAAACUCUGUGCAUCCAAUAAAACUACCUUUGAGAUGCCCAUUGGACUCAGCAGGCUGAGCCAGGCCACCUUGAAGGCUACUUCUUUCUGUAAGCAGAGUAUUAGUACCAGUUACAGUUCACUGUCACUGAGCAUUUGGCCUAAAGUGCUCAGAGGCGAAGACCUUAAAACAAGAAAAUUAUAUAGUGCCUAAUUAAAGUUCCAGUGUGAAUGCUUAAUGUUGGG